rnacentral:rRNA from 1 species
CAGCCGCCGCGGUAAUACGAAGGGGGCUAGCGUUGCUCGGAAUCACUGGGCGUAAAGGGUGCGUAGGCGGGUCUUUAAGUCAGGGGUGAAAUCCUGGAGCUCAACUCCAGAACUGCCUUUGACACUGAAGAUCUUGAGUUCGGGAGAGGUGAGUGGAACUGCGAGUGUAGAGGUGAAAUUCGUAGAUAUUCGCAAGAACACCAGUGGCGAAGGCGGCUCACUGGCCCGAUACUGACGCUGAGGCACGAAAGCGUGGGGAGCAAACAGGAUUAGAUACCCCAGUAGUCCCUGUCUCUUAUAC